rnacentral:rRNA from 1 species
UACGUAGGGUGCAAGCGUUGUUCGGAUUUACUGGGCGUAAAGCGCACGUAGGCGGAUUGUUAAGUCAGGGGUGAAAUCCUGGAGCUCAACUCCAGAACUGCCUUUGAUACUGGCAAUCUUGAGUCCGGAAGAGGUGAGUGGAACUCCUAGUGUAGAGGUGGAAUUCGUAGAUAUUAGGAAGAACACCAGUGGCGAAGGCGGCUCACUGGUCCGGUACUGACGCUGAGGUGCGAAAGCGUGGGGAGCAAACAGG